UGUGUGUUUAGCAGAGAAGGAGCAGUCCAACAUGUUAAGGCCAUUUUAUGGUACUGCGUAGAAUCGACAGCGUACCCCAGCAGACCCCUCUGUGUCUACGCCGGACCCUACACCGUAACCUGACCUGCACCUCUCGAAAAAUGUAACAUGGCCACGAAGGACGCUCGGUAGCGUUGCCCCCCCCCUUCUUCAUAAACAACGUGAAAUCGGGCAGAGGGUUAACUGUUCCUGCUCCAGAUUUCCCACCGUGAUCAGAAA